rnacentral:rRNA from 1 species
AGUGAGGAAUAUUGCACAAUGGGCGCAAGCCUGAUGCAGCAACGCCGCGUGAGGGACGAAGGCCUUCGGGUCGUAAACCUCUUUUCUGGGGGACGAGUAAGGACGGUACCCCAGGAAUAAGUCUCGGCUAACUACGUGCCAGCAGCCGCGGUAAAACGUAGGAGGCGAGCGUUAUCCGGAUUUACUGGGCGUAAAGCGUACGCAGGUGGCUUCGUUAGUCGGACAUGAAAGCUCCUGGCUUAACUGGGAGAGGUUGUUCGAUACUGCGGGGCUUGAGGUUGGGAGAGGGACGUGGAAUUCCCGGUGUAGUGGUGGAAUGCGUAGAUAUCGGGAGGAACACCAGUGGCGCAAGCGGCGUCCUGGCCCACACCUGACGCUGAGGUACGAAAGCGUGGGUAGCAAACAGGAUUAGAUACCCUGGUAGUCCACGCUGUAAACGAUGUCAACUGGGUGUCGGUAGUUUUACACUAUCGGUGCCGAAGCUAACGCGUUAAGUUGACCGCCUGGGGACUAC